rnacentral:rRNA from 1 species
UUGUAGUACGCUAGAGAUAGAUCUGGCUCGGAAGUCGUAACAAGGUAACCGCAAGAGUUGGAUCGGGGCCCGGUAAGCCUUAACAGGGAACCCUGGGUAACCUACCCAUCAGAGGGGGAUAACACUUGGAAACAGGUGCUAAUACCGCAUAACAGUUUAUGCCGCAUGGCAUAAGAGUGAAAGGCGCUUUCGGGUGUCGCUGAUGGAUGGACCCGCGGUGCAUUAGCUAGUUGGUGAGGUAACGGCUCACCAAGGCCACGAUGCAUAGCCGACCUGAGAGGGUGAUCGGCCACACUGGGACUGAGACACGGCCCAGACUCCUACGGGAGGCAGCAGUAGGGAAUCUUCGGCAAUGGACGAAAGUCUGACCGAGCAACGCCGCGUGAGUGAAGAAGGUUUUCGGAUCGUAAAACUCUGUUGUUAGAGAAGAACAAGGACGUUAGUAACUGAACGUCCCCUGACGGUAUCUAACCAGAAAGCCACGGCUAACUACGUGCCAGCAGCCGCGGUAAUACGUAGGUGGCAAGCGUUGUCCGGAUUUAUUGGGCGUAAAGCGAGCGCAGGCGGUUUCUUAAGUCUGAUGUGAAAGCCCCCGGCUCAACCGGGGAGGGUCAUUGGAAACUGGGAGACUUGAGUGCAGAAGAGGAGAGUGGAAUUCCAUGUGUAGCGGUGAAAUGCGUAGAUAUAUGGAGGAACACCAGUGGCGAAGGCGGCUCUCUGGUCUGUAACUGACGCUGAGGCUCGAAAGCGUGGGGAGCAAACAGGAUUAGAUACCCUGGUAGUCCACGCCGUAAACGAUGAGUGCUAAGUGUUUGAGGGUUUCCGCCCUUCAAUGCUGCAGCAAUCGCAUUAAGCACUCCGCCUGGGGAGUACGACCGCAAGGGUUGAAACUCAAAGGGAUUGACGGGGGGCCGCCACAGCGGUGGAACAUGUGGUUUAAUUCGAAGCAACGCGAAAACCCUACCAGGUCUUGGACAUCGCUUUGACCACUCUAGAGGAUAGAACGUUUCCCCUUCGGGGACAAAAUUGACAGGGGGGGCAUGGGUGCCCCACCUCUGGCUCGU